rnacentral:RNase_MRP_RNA from 1 species
CGCCACGAUCCGCUUCGAAGGUCACACACGGGCGGGUCAGGGGUUCGCCCCCUGGUCCCGCCAACACCAGAUUUCCUUUGGGGAAAGUCUCCGGACACUGCGGCAGAGAGUGCCAGCCCUAAGGGCCAGACCCUGCGCCCCCCGAACCGCUGGCAAAGACGCCCGAAGGGCGGAGCUGAUAAAGGGGAGGGGUGCGCUGGUAUCAGUCACAGCACAGUUAUGCGGAUGGCGCCGCGGUCCAACCGCGGCGCUAACUCAACGGAGCUUACGUUGGUG